rnacentral:misc_RNA from 1 species
GUGAGUCAUCGAAUCUUUGAACGCACAUUGCGCCCCCUGGCAUUCCGGGGGGCAUGCCUGUCCGAGCGUCAUUUCUGCCCUCAAGCCCGGCUUGUGUGUUGGGCGUGGUCCCCCCGGUUUAGGGGGGACCUGCCCGAAAGGCAGCGGCGACGUUCCGCCUAGGUCCUCGAGCGUAUGGGGCUUUGUCACCCGCUCGGGAGGGGCCUACGGGCGUUGGCCAUCCACCAUUCUUUUACGGUUGACCUCGGAUCAGGUAGGAGUUACCCGCUGAACUUAAGCAUAUCAAUAAGCGGAGGA